CAUGCCGCGUGUCAGCAGCCAGACAACCUAUAUCCCAGCCUCCCAACACACGCCCAGUGACGCGCACGGUCAAACCGCCUCGGCUCCUGGUCGAGUGUUGCGUGUCACGACGCUUCGACAUUCCCGCGGUGGCCUGUAUGGAUAGCCGGUCCGUAUUCGUCACCCUUCUUUGGUCGCGUUCCCUGUGCUACCCUCUCCCCCAUCACCGCGCGUCCUCCCUUGUAAGGCUUGGACCCUAAUAUGAUAGGGACCUUAAUAUAAUAGGGACCCUAAUAUGAUAGGGAUCCUAAUGUGAUAGGGACCCUAAUGUGAUAGGGACCCUAAUAUGAUAGGGUCCCUAAUAUGAUAGGGAUCCUAAUGUGAUAGGUUCCCUAAUAUGAUAGGGACCCUAAUAUGAUAGGGACCCUAAUAUGAUAGGGACCUUAAUAUAAUAGGGACCCUAAUAUGAUAGAGACCCUAAUAUGAUAGGGUCCCUAAUAUGAUAGGGAUCCUAAUGUGAUAGGGACCCUAAUGUGAUAGGGACCCUAAUAUGAUAGGGACCCUAAUGUGAUAGGGACCCUAAUAUGAUAGGGACCCUAAUGUGAUGGCCAUGUAACAAGUCUGUGUGAUUCGCAUGGAUAUCUUGGUUGUGCGUCGUCAUGAUCAUGGCAGAUAGGUUGUCUGACUGUAGACAGAUAGGUUGUCUGACUGUAGACAGGGGUACGUGGGAAUCGAUCGCCUGCAGACUUGCACGCCAGCGGGAGUGACAACCCAUGCAGUUAUUGCUACUGGUCAAGGUCCCCCCCCCCAGCACCCACGCGCGCGAGCGGUAACGAGAUUUCUGUUCUAUUACAAACCGACUCUCAGAGUCUCAGAGAGCGCGACGUCUCAUAUCAGAAUUUCACUUGACGCACUCACGUAAUGCACAUGGGAACUGUGAUAGACAUUUUGUAUAUAUUUUAGUUUCGGAGGAGGAGGAGGAGACAUGAGGGGGUGGUGGCGGCGUCCCGGCGGUCCUACAGGCUGGUCCUGUGUCGCUCGCACGCACGCACCGCCCUCUACAUGUGUUGUCUCAUCUCAUAGGGUCUUCCCAGCCUGCAUUCGUAUCGAAACAAGUUAUCAGCAGUACACUGAACCACAUUUUGCACUGAUUCUCGCGAGAUUUCGCGCACGCACCAGUUUAGAUAUGAAACGGAGGUCGACGCAAGGGGAUUUCGUCGCCAGGGGGCGUAACGUGUCACCUGCUGAUGAGCCUUGCACCUCUUUACAGAUUACGUUUCCUUGCAGGCCAUCCAAACUCUGUCAUUGUUGUUAACAUGUCAUCGUGCAUCAGCGUAACAAUGAGACUGCAAUCACCGCGUUUCAUUACGUCUAUAAUGUUUAACUCGCGAUCCACUGUUGCCAUGGCUACAGUUGUUAUGGCUACGGCGUGUCCUUUGCUCCCCCCCAGCGCGUGUGAGUCUGGCAGCAGUCUGCAGGGAGGGAGGAGGGAGGGGGUCCGUCGUGGGGUCGCGAGUGUUUGAUGAGUGUUUGUACAGAUCUCCAGAGAAAGAAAGAGGGCGAGCGAGAAAGAGAGAGGGAGAUAGAGAGAGAGAGAGAGAGAGAGAGAGAGUUGUGCACCUUCCGCAGGGUGCUCGUGGUUGAUGAUGCAAUGCGCAUGCGCGGCCCCGCAUCCCGUACCUGCACAGAGGGCAGCCUAAAUUUUAUGUCGUCUACUUAACUACUAGCUACUGCGAAACCGUGUAAAUUAUGCUGUAAUUCGUGUAUAAAUGUAUAACGUAAAGACGCUUUCGCCUAAUUUAAUUGCGAUGAGUCACCGGUGGAUUGCGCGUGCACGUACUUCACUCACGGUGAGAUGUGUACGGAACAAACCUUUGACGUUUCCAGACGACGACAGUGACGACAGUGACGUUGACGAUGAUUAAUAAUGUAACGGUGGAUUUAUGCAGUCAGUCUUCGGUGCGAUCACAUAAAAUAGCACUCGUACUAUGUUUGUGCCGUGGGUUGUAACAGCAACGGUGGAUAAGGCAGUCUAUGAAACGUGUCUAGUUCUAGUAUAGGGAAUUUCGGUGGUUGGAUUGGUGCGGCUUUAAUUAAGGCAUGCAGGGUUUUGAUGAGGUGUAUCUAGAAGGAAACCAGCGUGGAAGAAAGCUGGUGCAUGCGCAGUACGGGGAGGAGCUCACGAAUCUCUGUCGCUCCCAUGAAAGAUGUAACUGUUGGUGAUUGAUAGCAUGGGCGACCGUGUGCACGUGUGUGCGUGACGUCAUCGUCACCAUGGUGACGACGGAAACCCCGUUACUCGUGUAUCUUGAUGAGAAAUAUUUACUUAUUCCGACUAUUUAUCUCGAUAUAUGGACAUCGCGUUAUAUGACCAUGUUGUUUCUGUGAUGUAUGUUUACUACUUACACGUAUAGCUUAUGAAUAACGUAUCGAUAAUUAAAUCAGCGGCAGGAGAGAGAGAGAGAGAGAGAGAGAGAGAGAGAGAGAGAGAGGAACAGCGCAAACAAAUAGAGGAACAUACGCGCGAGGAAGGACCGGAGGAACAACAAUCAACUGAAGAUCAUGUCAAGGUCGUGGUUUGGACAACGCGUGUGUUUUAGUGCUGCAUAAUACUCGUAGGUGGGAUAACCGACAGAUAGGUUAAAUCCUAUAGUCAUCUAGUCAUGCAGUGGGAACAGCCUACGUGUGAAAGCGUGGGUUUCCACCGCCUGGGGAUAUUGUUUCGACGAUGAUUUGCACUCUGAAAUAUAUUUACAGAAAAGACGAGACGGCGCAUGCGCUGCAGCAGUAGCGCUGUUCACCAUCCUCUAUGUUGUUAGCGAGGGGUUUUAUCUAAGCCCUUCCAUCUAGAGUCAGGAUAGCGAGAGAUAGAGAAAGCAAGAAAGAGAGAGUGUGUGUGUGCUUGUCAGGGAUCCGUCUGGUUCAAUCCGUGUUGCUAUGCAUAUACAGCCUCGGAACGAGACGAUAGAAAUACAGAGAACAGGGGGAGAGAGAGCGCGCGCGAGAGAGAGAGAUUGCAAAUAUAUCUCAAAGUUGGACAAAUUUGCUUGAUUUGUUUUCAAGUGCAGCAGCUCUUGAGCGUGAGGAUGGCAUGAUUUUAGAGGGUGGGGGUGUGGGAAGCAGUAAGUCCAUAUCUACAAAUCUAUAUUUACCUAAAUGGUGCAAGUUACAAAACGUAGUUUAGAGGAGACACUAUAUUAUGUAGCUGUAGGCACAGGUUGUAUUAAUUGCAUAUAUGCAGCUGUGGAUCGUCGACUAGCGAGGACGUACGUCGUGCAACUCGAACUGCAGGCUUACGAGACGAGUGUAAAAUUAUGUUAAUUACGUGUAAUUUAUUCGUAGUGUAUAUCGUAUAUAUAUAGCAACGCGCGUGUUUAAAACAAGCAUUUCUCUUCGUGAAUUAGACACUCGAACACACACACACACUUCUGCUCGCCUUCAGCGUCAGAAUGUGCAGCGUGUGUGACAACAGUGUAAGCUAUGAACUCUCACACAGCGUUGUAAUUCUGAGUCGUGGGGCCGAAUCAAGCGGUUCAUACUACUUUUGGUGGUGAAUUCGUAGUGAGAUGAUACAACCAGCACAGCUUCGUCGUUCUCAUAGAGUCGGAAACGUGUGUAAAUAAAGCUUACAGGUUCUUUGCAAAUAGUAAACGAGAAGUGAACAAUAAUAGUCGGUGUGUGUAUAUGUGUGUGUAUAAUAUAUAUAUAUAUUAUACACACACAUCGGUAGCUGCAUCAAGCUAAUGUAGUUAGAGAGGUAAAGCCUGUUAAAUUUUAGUCGAGUGUAUAUGACAUCCACAAUUAGCUAUUAUACUGACAUACGUGUGUGUGUGCGUAUGCGUGUGUGCGUGCGCGUGUGUGCGUGCGCGUGUGACGACGAUAUUUUAUGUAUGACGUCAGAGGACACGUGAUGAGCCAUGUACAGAAUCUGUUGAUAUUUUUGCAAGUUUUAUAUUGUUUCGCACACGUUUUUCAGUUCGCCCGCGUAGCUUUUCUUGAUAUUUUACAACCCCUUGCGGAGUAGCUGUAUUUCGCUACAGAUGGCGGAGUGUUCCCAAUACGAGGGCUUAGUGUGAGUCAUACGUGAUGACACACAACGUUGUGACGUGUCGCAGCACUUUCCCCCGUAAAAUAUCCGCGAACAAAAAUGGCACAGCCCACCGCCAAGUUCUAUUACGAGUAUUUAGUUAUACGAGAUAACGUCUCUGUGUUGAAGCGUUUCUCCUAGUCCGUUCGACUUUUUUCGAAGUUCCGUUUGUCAGUCUACGGUCAACACCCGGUGGCAAUGCAGCAUUUCGAACGGUCAGUCGACGACGAAAUAUUUUGUUUGCAAAUGGCGGUACGUCGCUGUUACUGGCAGACUCAUUUCGCGUGCACUCGGUGGUCCCUCACGAUGGUCACUUUAAUGACCGGGUUAAUAGUGUUUUUUGCUAAUAGCGAUUGUCGUAUAAGGGUCAAAGUCACUGAUCAGAUGGUUGUGCUCCAGGAAUUAUGAGUAGUAUAAUAAAGUAUAGAUUCAACAAGAAAAUUACCAUUUUUCACCCACGGUACGGCAGAUGCGUGUUUUGGGGGGCUUUGUAUAAGCAUUGCGUUCACACUUACUUACGGCAGAACUAGCAGAUUUUGUAAACGACUGCCGCCAUUUCGAUGCGCCUCGGCAAUGACGUGGCUUUCUAUCGUGGCUUUGACAAACCCAGCGAUUGGUUUCGACGUGGUUCGCAGAAAAUUCAGGUUAUUUUCUUGUUGAAUGUGUUCUAGUAGUGUAUAUUCUUGUCUAGUCAGUGGAAACGAUAGAGGAAAAUACAUUUUUGAUAUGUGUAAUAGUUUUGGUUUCACCCCCCCCCCGCGACACAAUGAAGGUUAGAAGGUGACCAAUCCUUGAAGCCAUUGGAGGGGGAAAUGGUGAAAGGAUAUAUGCUAUCGUCGUCAGCCAUUGAUCGUCACUAGCUAUCGUAUUUCGUGCUCCUUGUUUAGAUUAAGCAUGGUCACACAUCGCCAACAAGGCGGGUUACUCGUACCUAGUUGCUGUAAUGGGAAUUGCUUUAUGGUAGUGUGAUAUCGGUGUGAUAACGAGUGAGAUCAGGUGGAUUGUCAGUCCAACGCGCGGAGGUUCAUGCAUGUAAACCCAUGGGGACGAGCAAGAUGUAUAGUAGGUUAUUUAUUCGACUGAGUUAUCAAGUAAUGGAAGCGUAAUCACUGAGAUUCAUUUUCAGUUACGAGGACCAGCAGGUGUCGCCACCGGUGACUGCUGUGCGCGUGAACAAUGCUGAUGGCGGGAAAGCUCGUCUGCUAGCGCGAGAGAAAACGUGUGCGUACCACUCACCUAUAUAUAACUGUUACAUCUGUUAUAUAUAGAUCAGUGGUGCGUGCAGGUACAUGGAGAUUUUUGCAUCGCACAGCAAAAGCCGGCUGCUGUGGGGAGCUAAAAUUGGUCAGAGGUUUGUAGUGAGAGAUGCCGUUGCUCGGUUUCCUGAUUUAUUCCUGUGUUUAAUAGCAUUGUUCAGCCGCACUGCAGAACAACCGGCAAAAUCACGUGAAUGUUUAACGAUGCACAAUAUUGCUGAAUCGUGUGGGGUUUUUUGUUGAUAAUCUAUUGUAGGUUUAUUAAAGAUGUACAUGAUUAUGACAGUCAACGAUUAUGAAGUUAGCGGUGAGAAAGUUUGGGGCGUUAUGUGUGACUAGUGAGCGAGAUCUGGUGGAUAUUGAAACGCGAAGCUCUGCUUUGCGCACGUGAAUAAACAGACCCCCAGUAAACACUGCAGUAAAAUUGACUGCAGUUCAGCAAGUGAUGAAUUGGCAAUCUUCGCAAAAGGCACCCUCAUUCCUCAUUCCAGAAAAAGUUAUCCAUUGGAAAUGUCGUGAAAUUUUGAGUUUGUUUUGGCGUGCCGACGGACAGCAAAUGAACUUUAGAGAACAUAUAGUCCUAGCAAAAUCUAGUCAAUGUUUCAUACUGGUCACGAGUGAGCUCAGGUUCAACAUUGCCAGUUUGAAUUUAGUUGAGAGUUUACGCAAUUGUUUCGCAUUGUUUUGUAAAGUUUGGCAUUGCUGCAUGUAACAGUAUAGCCGCAUAUGUAAUAUUUAUUGAAAAUAAAAUGCCUCUUCUGAGUGCA
rnacentral:lncRNA from 1 species